UUACCUACCUGGCAAGGGAGGUACCAUGAUCAAGAAGGUGGUUUACCCAGGGCGAGGCUCAACCAUUGCACUCCGAUUAUGUUGACCCCUGCGAAUUCCCCACAUGUGGGAAUCUCAACUGCAUAAUUUGUGGUAGUGGGGGACUACGUUUGCACUCUCCCCUG